UACGAAGGGGGCUAGCGUUGCUCGGAAUCACUGGGCGUAAAGCGCACGUAGGCGGAUUGCUAAGUCAGGGGUGAAAUCCUGGAGCUCAACUCCAGAACUGCCUUUGAUACUGGCGAUCUUGAGUCCGGGAGAGGUGAGUGGAACUGCGAGUGUAGAGGUGAAAUUCGUAGAUAUUCGCAAGAACACCAGUGGCGAAGGCGGCUCACUGGCCCGGUACUGACGCUGAGGUGCGAAAGCGUGGGGAACAAACAGG
rnacentral:rRNA from 1 species